AGUGAACGCUGGCGGUAGGCCUAACACAUGCAAGUCGAACGGCAGCACAGUAAGAGCUUGCUCUUACGGGUGGCGAGUGGCGGACGGGUGAGGAAUACAUCGGAAUCUACUUUUUCGUGGGGGAUCACGUAGGGAAACUUACGCUAAUACCGCAUACGACCUACGGGUGAAAGCAGGGGAUCUUCGGACCUUGCGCGAUUGAAUGAGCCGAUGUCGGAUUAGCUAGUUGGCGGGGUAAAGGCCCACCAAGGCGACGAUCCGUAGCUGGUCUGAGAGGAUGAUCGGCCACACGAGAACUGAGACACCGACCAGGCGCCUACGGGAGGCAGCAGUGGGGAAUAUUAGACAAUGGGCGCAAGCCUGAUCCAGCCAGACCGCGUGGGUGAAGAAGGCCUUCGGGUUGUAAAGCCCUUUUGUUGGGAAAGAAAAGCAGCAGGUUAAUACCCCGCUGUUCUGACGGUACCCAAAGAAGAAGCACCGGCUAACUACGU
rnacentral:rRNA from 1 species